GAUGAAGAACGCAGCGAAAUGCGAUAAGUAGUGUGAAUUGCAGAAUUCAGUGAAUCAUCGAAUCUUUGAACGCACAUUGCGCCCCUUGGUAUUCCAUGGGGCAUGCCUGUUCGAGCGUCAUUUGUACCCUCAAGCUUUGCUUGGUGUUGGGUGUUUGUCCUCUCCUUUGCGUUUGGACUCGCCUUAAAGCAAUUGGCAGCCAGUGUUUUGGUAUUGAAGCGCAGCACAAUUUGCGAUUCUAACCGACUACACUUGCGUCCAUAAGCCUUUUUUAACUUUUGACCUCGGAUCAGGUAGGGAUACCCGCUGAACUUAAGCAUAUCAAUAAGCGGAGG
rnacentral:misc_RNA from 1 species